AAUAUUUGAAAAUGGGCGAAAGCCUGAUCCAGCCAUGCCGCGUGUGUGAAGAAGGUCUUCGGAUUGUAAAGCACUUUAAGUUGGGAGGAAGGGCUUUAGGCUAAUACCCUGAAGUUUUGACGUUACCAACAGACUAAGCACCGGCUAACUCUGUGCCAGCAGCCGCGGUAAUACAGAGGGUGCAAGCGUUCAUCGGAAGUACUGGGCGUAAAGCGAGCGUAGGUGGUUUGUCAAGUUGGAAGUGAAAGCCCCGGGCUCAACCUGGGAACUGCUUUCAAAACUGGCAAGCUAGAGUAUGGUAGAGGGUAGUGGAAUUUCCUGUGUAGCGGUGAAAUGCGUAGAUAUAGGAAGGAACACCAGUGGCGAAGGCGACUACCUGGACUGAUACUGACACUGAGGUGCGAAAGCGUGGGGAGCAAAC
rnacentral:rRNA from 1 species